rnacentral:lncRNA from 1 species
UCAUAUUAAAAGUAUUUUUAUGUUAAAAUUUUAAAACGUAAAAACUUGAUUUGCAUAGUUCAAUUUUAUAUUCAAAUAUAUAUGGUAAUUUUGUUAUUUACUACUAUUAAAAAAUAUUUAUAUAUUUUUUUUUGUUUCUCCUUGUUUGUCAUCAGGGGGCGCUUUUCUCAAGGAAGAGCUUACCCUUUUUCUCCGGUAAAUUAUUAUUGUUUUGACUUGUGUGUGUGUGCACGUGUUUGUUUGCGUGGAGGACUCCAUUGGAACUGUGAUAGAACCAGAUUAAACUCUUAGCGAGGAAAUCCGGCCACAUCGAUUGGAAGACAACUUUCACGUUUAAGAACUUUUCUCCAUUGUAACAAAGAAUUGAAGAUCUCCGACGUGAACUCAUUAUUUUUAAUUUAUUAAGUUUAAUCUAUUGUAUAAUUUAUAGUCAUUAGUUGUAAUUCUCUUCAUCCUUUAAUUUAGUAAUAACUUUAGUAUAA